rnacentral:rRNA from 1 species
CCUACGGGAGGCAGCAGUGAGGGAUAUUGCACAAUGGGGGAAACCCUGAUGCAGCGACGCCGCGUGGGUGAAGAAGUAUUUCGGUAUGUAAAACCCUAUCAGCAGGGAAGAAGAAAUGACGGUCUCUGAGAAAAACGCCCCGGCUAAAUACGUGCAAGCAGCCGCGGUAAUACGUAGGGGGCAAGCGUUAUCCGGAUUUACUGGGUGUAAAGGGCGCGCAGGCGGCACGGAAUGCCUGAUGUGAAAGCCCGGGGCCCAACCGCCGGACUGCAUUGGAAACUACCGGGCUGGAGUGCCGGAGAGGUAGGCGGAAUUGCUAGUGUAGCGGUGAAAUGCGUAGAUAUUAGGAGGAACACCAGUGGCGAAGGCGGCCUACUGGACGGUGACUGACGCUGAGGCUCGAAAGCGUGGGGAGCAAACAGGAUUAGAUACCCGAGUAGUC